UAGCACGCCAUCUCAUAUCUAAAAAAAAUAUGCUAACCACAUGGUCCUCUCAACUCUACUUUAACAUAUAUAAAAAAAUAAAAAACCUAGUUAAUAUUUUUUAAAAAAGAAAAAAGAAAAACAUCAAAUAUAAAGCUAAAUUGAACCUUGAGGAAAAAAUAUCCAAAAGAAAAAUAUGGCUGAAGAUAUGAAGAACAACAUUGAAGAUCUAUCAACUAAACCUCCCACUCCAAGUGAAGAACCAACUAAAGAAUCAGAAAAUGCACAAGGAGAAGUAGUAGAGAAAGAUGAAGCCAAAAAAGCAGAAGAUGAGAAGUUGAUACAUGUAGUUGGAAGAGCAAAAGUGCCUACACCUCCUGGCAAAAGACCUGGUCCUAGCAUUGGUUGAAAUCUAAGUUGCUCGGACUUUCUAAAAAUAUUGUUACGUUGGGGUUGGAUUUUUUAAAAAUAUACUAUUUUUGAAAAGUCCGACAUGCACUCGUUAAUAUUUUUAAAAAGUUCGAAUAACAUAGAUUGAAAUAAUAUAUAUAUACAACCUUUGGAAAUUCCUAUAUUGUUGUUGGUCAUGUGUUGGUGCCUCUUUAAUUUCCUUGUGUGUUUGUGUGUAUUUGUUGAUCUUAUUUUUUAGUUUGAGUUUUUUACUUUAUCAAUAAUAUGAUGGGGGACAAUGUGUGAUAGUACAACUUGUGUUUUGAGCAUGGUGUGAUUAUCAGUGAGUGGGGAUUCAGAAUUUAAGUUUAUAAGUUUUGAAUUUAAUAUUUAUUAGAUGUAUAACGUUUUCAUUUUAUUUUGUUUGAUCAUAAUAUAAAAAGUAGAUUUCUUUUUA